rnacentral:lncRNA from 1 species
GGGGAGGCUGGAAGUCAGAAGUAUCAAACUGACCCAGAGCCUUGGGGGGCAAGAGAGGGAGGGGUAACCCAGGAGAACAUAAAGCAGUUCAAGAGAUAUACUGUUCUAUAGGCUGAGUUGUGUGCACCCUGCAGCUUCAGCAAGCAAUCUGGAAAUCAGUGCAGGGCUUGGCGUUCUCAAAUCACAGCUUUUGGUUUCAAAGCAACAACUAUAUUUUUUUUAAAACAGAAAUGUUUUCAAAGGGUUUCUUAGAAGAGCUAGUCAGGGUUUUCAGUGUGUUUGUGAGAUGGCUGGGGAGGUUUUAGGGCCUUGCACAACUGCCACUGCUUCUCUUGUUGCUGGUAUCUCUCACCAUUCGUUUCUGCCCAUUUUCAUCCCAUCCAUGUCCAAUGCCAUCUUACAGUUCUCUUGAGAAAUUUUUUUUAGAAGCUGAAUACAGUGGUACCUCGGAUUACAAACCUUUUGGGUUACAAACACUUUGGGUUACAAACUCCGCUAACCCAGAAAUAGUACCUCGGGUUGAGAACUUUGCCCCAGGAUGAGAACGGCGGCAGCAGCGGGAGGCUCCAUUAGCAAAAGUGUGCCUCAGGUUAAGAACGGUUUUCGGUUAAGAACGGACCUCCGGAACGAUUUAAGUUUGUAACCCGAGGUACCACUGUAACUGCAAAAAUAAGCCAGUUCUCACACACACAUAUGGCACAAAAGAGACUGUACUGAAACUGUCUGGGUUGUUGUUUUUAGUGCAGAGUACACACAGUUUUGCUUAUAUAGAAUGGAUAAAAUGGGUGGUUUUAAAGUGAAGAAUCAUAUAACUGAGGUGGGAGUUUGGGUGAGCAGGAUUAAAGUUCUGUUGAAAAGAGAACUCUAACCAAUUUUCCAGCUGCAUACGUCCAUGCAGUCUGAUUUCUGACAUCAUCCAUGGCAUGUGCCUCAAUUACUAGAUUGUGAGAGUGUCAGAAUGACCACUCCAACCUGAAAUGUGUGUUGAUUUUUAUUUCUGCCUUCCGCUAUCAAUCAAUCAAUCAAUCCAUUCUCCAGUAGGCUGAAUCCCCCACCUGUGAUUCUACCAUAAGAGGAACAGAUGAAAAACAGUUGGCCAGAAAAAAUGUCCUGUUCGCUAUUUCUGCCUCCUUGACCACGAACAGUAUAGGCAAAAGAAAGUACUUCCUAACGAUGCAUAACGAGCGGGUGAAAUUAACUGCCACAAGGGUAUGGUGAUGGUCGCUGCUGUAGAUCCUUUUGACAAGGGCUUUCGACAAAUCCAUGGGCAGAAGUUUAUUUAUUAUUUAUUUAUUAAAUUUGCGUCCUGCCCUUCCUCCCAUUGAGUAUGGGAUGUCGGUUCUGUAAAUGUCUACUAACCUUGAUAGCUGGAUGGAGCCUAAAUGUUCAGGGAUGGCAUACGUUUGAAUUUCAGUUGCUUGGAAGCAACAACAGGAGUCUUUGGGAAAAGGUGGGAGAGGAAUCUGCCCUGUCGCCCACUCAGGAAUCUAUUUCUGAACAUAAAAGGGCAGUUAAAAUGUGCCUAAGGCCUGCAGUGUGGUGUUCAUACGGUGUGUUGGGAUCUUCCAAGGGGCUGAAAGAUUCCUUCAGGUGCUUGCAAGUGCUGGACCUCUAGGGUGGGGUGUGACCUACAGCUGCUAGAAAAGUCACCUCCUCUAUCAGAGGCUCUAGUGAGAACUCUGUAGCCAACAGUUGAGAGAAGGCAAUGCUCUUUUUAGGUUGACAUCUACAGCAGCUGGGGAACCAGGCAGGAUUUUAGGAAGCGAGGAAGGGUUUCCAAAGGUUGGAGGGGGCACUGAUUUAAAGUGCAGGUAGGUAAUUUGGAUCGUAAGCUCUUAAAGGCAGCUUGAUUCUCACCCACCUACCCUGCACCCCAGUGGGGACCCUUUCCUAUUUUGUUGUUCAAAGCAGCUGAAAACCAAAGUCCCCAAAUAUUAGAAAUUCCUGUUUGUUCUAAUGUAUUGAAAAUGGAAAUGUUUUCUUUUGCUGAAAAUAUGACAGGCCGUUCUGUUCUGAAUAGCAGGGUGGGGAGGAAUCCAGAAAGAAAAACGUUUUGCCACAUUUAUAUGCUACAAAGUUAUCCAAGCAGAAGCACAUUUUAAGGGGCUCUGCAAUACUGUAUACAUGAAUCACCAAAGCCUACCUGCCCCCAAAGGCUUCUGAUUCUCUAUUGUUAGGGUUAGAUGUUUCCAAAGCUGGGUGAAGCCUGUGAUCCAGAAGAAGAAUUUACAAAGCCCUUGCUGGAUCAGACCCAAAGCCUAUCUAGUCCAGCAACCUGUUUGCCGCAGUGGGAGGCCCACAGGCAAGACCCUCUCCAAUCGUGGUCUCCUCUUCCUUCUGCCUCUGAUACUGGUGGAGGCAACCUAGCGAUCAUGACUAGUAGCCAUUGAUAGCUUUAUGGCCCAUGCUUUUGUCCAAUCUCCUUUUCAUUGGGGCUUUAAGCCUGUAAUCCUGUAACCCCCCCCCCCCCCCCGGAGUACAUUUCAUUGAAUUCAGUGGGACUUGCUUCUGAAUAGACAGGUGUCAGAUUGCUCUGUCUGAGCCUUAUUUGUUGGGGUCUUGUGAGGAUUCCAGUAAAGCUCAGUUUUCUAAACCUGGUUUCUAGCCUUUGUGAUGGAGGUGCAACGCACCAGAGAUUUCUGAGAAUGGAAGAGCCACCUUGCUGAGUCAAACCAGAAUUUUGCCACCAUGUAAAGUGAACAGCAGUCUUUAAUUGGGAGUCAUCAAACUUCAGGACUGUGGAAUCUACUUGGGUUUUUUUGUUGUUGACUCAAGAUCUAGGACCCUAGUGCAAAAUACAUGCUUUUCAGAAUUACAUAUCCCAGACUUGAUUUGGAGUACAGGAAGUGAAUGGAGCCAUUCACUCUUGGUAAUCUCACAUCCUUCCUUCAUUUCAGCAGAUAGACUUGUUUUGCUGUUGCUAUUGUUAAACACAUGUGAGUCAGAAAUCCUUGUUCUACAGUUAUCUCCGAAUAGGUCUCAAUCUGUUACAUAUAUUUAUUUAAUUGAAAUUUGUCCAUUGUUCAUUGAAGUCCCUUGCAGAAUUUGGCUUGUAGCUACUGGAAUCUUGAUAGGCUCUUGAAAUUCAGAAAUGCAGUAGGUAUAUACUACACAGCAUUGCAGGCUUCCAGAACCUGACUCUCCCAUACAUACAUUCUUUUUUAAAUUUAUUUGCAUAUCAAAUCUGAGUGUUAAAUCCCCAUUUUUUCUGUAAAGUGGUAACAGGAUGAACCAACUCACACUAAGAACAGUAUUUUCAGCUAAUAAUUUUCAGGAAAGAUCUUUCCCAGCUCCUAGAAAUGAUUUUACUAGAAAGGGUGUAUGAUCUGGAAUUACAGUAUAUAUAGGAAGCAAAAAGGCAUUGUCUCUGAACUAUGAAUCUCACCAUUAAAUCUUCCUAAUUAAGCAUUAAAUGUUCUAAUUAAGCAAUAGAAAGAACCCAGUGAAGAUUUUGAAAAAUUGCAGCUGUAGGCAGGGGUGUAUUCCUUUUUGAAUCGUCUUCAGUCCUAUUCUCAUUGGUAUGCUAUGACUGUAAAGUAAGACAGAACUUAAAAUUGCAUAUCGAGGGUUUUAGAAUUAGGGUUUUCAGAAAAGGCCCUUGCUUCAGCCUCAAGUGGAUUAAACCAACAGUCUUGAGAAGCUGGUGGAGAACAAGGAAGCGUUUUAAGUUUUAAUUGUGCCCUGUCGCUGAACGUCCUCUGAUCUGGGUUUGGCUUGAUGAUAACAGAAAAACACUUUAUUCCCAGGUGUAAAGAGUAAAUGUAAAUCUUCCUUACACGAUAAUACUUCCUGUCACAAAUGAGACACUGUUCAACCUCUUCAGUUGGGCAUGCAGUUGUCAUAUGAAGUUUGAGGAGUGGGAUUGCAACUUUAAAUGGUGAAUUUGAGAGGAGGGAUUUAACACUCUCUUUCUCUCUUGGGGGUGUUUCAGUUGCUUUUAGCUUUGACAGUAUUUGCUGGGAAGGAAGACAACUUCCUUUCCUGACCAGUGGCACACAUUUCCAAGCAACUUAACCAUUGCCAGUUCUGAGGUCUUACCCCAGAACUAGAAAGACGCCUGCCUGCUUGAGCCAUGCCUGCAGUCGCACAGGCCUCUGAGCAUGCAGCUAUAUUGCUUUGAUAUCAUGUAGCCCAGGGGAGCAGCUGGAUCUGCGUCACAGGCUUCUGUGACGCAUUUCCUUAUAUACCAUAUUUCCAGUGCUUGAAACCUUUGCAACUGGAGCAGAUUGGCCCCCCUUUUUUAACCUCUUAGCAAUGCCACCAGGCAAGCUAUUGAUUAGGUGGCGGGAUUGAUUUGACUCUGUCUGUCUGUCUGUGCAGACUGUAGCCAGUAGUGCAGUCCCAUCUGUACUACACAUCUGAAACAGUACCAUACCACUUUAAGCAGGGUGGUGUAACAAUCCCUCUUGCCAGGAAAUGCUGGGAAUUGUAGCUGUGAUGUGAAGUGGGGUCUCCUAACAGCCCUCGGCACCCUAACAAAUCAUUUGAGGGAAGCCAUGCUUUAAACGUAUGGUGCAAAUGGAGCCAAAAAUAGGAAAGUUUUGGGAAGCCCUUAUCCCAAACAUUUAUAUAUUCCGUGAUUCUGUGGGAGUACAGAAUGUGAUACUGGGCCCAGUCUUUAAAAACGAAUCUUUCUAAUUUUUAUGGAUACUAAAAUAAACCUCGGAAGUUUGUGGGCAGCAGGAGUGGCUGGAUAAGUUUUUCACUUUCAGGGUAGGGCUUCCCCCCUAUGUAGUGCCCAUUAGAACCAGGCUAAAUUUGGCAAAACUUUUUUAAAAAAACAAAUAAAUUAUGCAAAAUAAGACUGAAAAUGUAUGUUACUUGCAUAAUUUAUACAGGAAGAAGAAUUCGGUAUCUGAAGAUUUUAGAUUUUAUCUUGUUUUAACUGUGGGAAGUACACUUCAACAUGGUCUCUUCCUUGCAAGCUAGGCAAAAUAAAGUCACUCUACUCUAGAUUCACUUGACAAAAAUCCUAGAUAAGUUUUCCUUUAAAUUCAGAAACGGAUGUGGUAUUGUUCAGAAUUGCUCACUGCUUACUCAGCCAAAAAGGGAGCCAGCAGCAUGCAUCUUUAAAAUAUCUCUUAUGAGAAUUGUGGAUACUUCCAGGUGGGAAGGGGAUCAUUAAUCUUGAGGAAUUUAAUUUGAAGCUCAGUGUUGCAUGAAAGCCAAAGAGGUAGAUGCAAGUUCCUAGGUUUCUCUUGCAUAAUAAAUCCAAAUGACAAAACACCCUUCAUGCAUAUCUAUGGACUUUAGUUUAAUUGCAGUUGGAUAAUGCUACCAUUCCCACUAGUGUUACUGAAAGUAAAAGAGCAUCUCUGAUGUGAUGGACAUCUUGUUAUGAUGCAAGAGUCAAGCUAACCUGACCUAUCUUCUAUAAACCUAAUGAGAAGCAAUAACCGGAUGAUUGCCCUCAGAGGUCUGGUUCCCCAUCAUUUAGAAUGUACUGCAGCUAAGCAAAUACCUUUUUCCCCAAGCUUGUUUGGCUCCAUCAUGCAGAAUUGGAGCUGGUCAUGUACAGACUGGAGACUGCAAUUUGUGUGAUACAAGAAUUCAGGCAUCACCACCCCUAAGCGCAAAUGAUCUAUGGAGGCACUGAGAUAAGUCUGCUGUGGUUGAGCUGGAAGAUUCUAAAACUUGCAGUCCUGUAGAAGUUAGCGUUGCUUCUGGGGAAAGUGGAGAAGCCUUCGUUCCUUGGUAUUGAUAGCACUCGUAGAUGAGAAGUGUAGUUCAGCUAUGACUGUUGAGCAAAGGUGGCUCUGCUUUGGUUGGAAUGAGAUGAGCCAAAGUCCUUUGAGAAAAUGAUACUUGGCUAUUGAAAGAGGGCUCUUUCUAACUCUUAAAGCAGCUUUAUGUUGUCAUAUUUAACCUUGCGGCAAAACAGUGCUGGUUCCCCAUUUCUUGCAGCUUUUGAAUCUGAAGCUAAUAUCGGAAGUGCUUUUGCCUAUAGAGCCAGGAACCAGGAGUCUCUGCAAAUGCGCCUAGCCAUAACUAGAUGGCCCCAUAGCUAUUUUUUAUAACAAAAAAGUUUGCUUAUUUAAAAAUAAUAAUAAUGAAGCCCUGAUUUGCAAACUUCAAUUUUUUUUUUAAGUGCAGAUUUCAAAAUUCAGUUCCUUUUGUGAGACCAGAAAGCUACAGUCCUUGAAUGUAGAUAUAAUAAUUCUGAAUAUACUUCUCUUGAUCCUAAGACGCACAAAAGGGGAGGUCAGUACGUGGCCUUGCGAUGAAUGGAUCAGUCUGUUUCAUGUGUUUUCAUUCAUAAAUCCAUUCCAUUCAGUUUCUGCAUUACUCUGGAUUUGUUUUGGAUCCAUAUGAAAAUUUGUAUCUAAAAACAUAUUUUAACUCUGUAUAUACAUUUCUAAACAUUUAAACUAGGCAUUUUGUUACUUUUUUGAGACAAUCCCUGUGUCUCAUUAAUUCAGAUAAGUGCAAAAUCUAAGGAUAACUAAAUUCUAAUUCACAGGGGGUCUGGAUCGGGUCAUUUUGCAUCAGAAUACACAGAAAUAAAAUUCCUCAGGCAUCUGUAAUGAGACCUCUUUUCUCCACGUUUCCAGAAAUUAGUCACCCUAGCAUUGCAGGCUGUCUGUAAAAUUAAGGACUUUUCAAGCAUCUUGCAGUGUUGCCUGUGGGAGCUAUUGUAUGACAAAGACGCAAAAAUGUAGAGCUUGAAUGGAUUGUGACUUUGUGAAAUGAAUUUCCUAAUCAUGAACAAACAUCAGGUUUCCCUUGUGAGGGUGACCCUGAGGUAAUUGUGAUAUCAGUUGGACCCAAAGAUUAUGUUGAGUUGCGUUGUUCAUUCUUUGAGAGCGGCGCUCUCAAAUGCGGCGUUCUUGCUUUUCAUUUGGCCUGUGUAACACUUUGGAUUCUCACCAGGGCUGGAUCCUUGGAUGGUACAAUCUUGGCAGAGUUCCUUUGAAGUCACUGGAUUUGCAUCCCACAUCCAGAGCUAUUGAUCCCCAAUGGAGUAAGGUCCAUUAACAACAGCUGUAGGGAUCGUGUUUAUUAGAAAUAAUUGCUGUGUUACUAACUUUGAUGCUGAGAAUUAACUGAAGUAAUAUGACUUUCCCCUGCACUGUGCAGUGGACCUUAAAUGCUCAUAAGGAAGGCGAAAUAUGUUCCUGUGUCCAAAUCUUCUUCCUCUUAGCAGGGCUUUUUUUCAGCCAGAACUCACUGGAAUUCAGUGGGCACCAUUGCCAUUAUAAGAGAACAAGGGAGGAGUUCAUGGUGAGUUCCGGCACCUCUUUUUCUAGAAAAAUAGCACUGCCUCUAAGAUAAAGAAAGCUUCCUUUUUAAUAUGAGUUGAAGUGGGAACAAAUCUAAUACUUUUAACUUCCUGUACUAGGCUCCAAUUCAAGAUUCUCUAAACAUGUUUCUUGAAGUCUUCAUAAGGAUCUAAACCAUACAAUCAAAGGCAUGGAUUUUAGCAUGCUGCCUUCAUUGUUUUGUGGGGUGGGGGUGGGGGGGGCCUUUUAAAGCCAGCCUACUGACCAAUAUUUCCUGCAUUUCUCUUCCAAAUAUUUCAUCCCAUCCUAAGGCAGUAGUGUGGGAUAUGACUCUGGCUAGCCGUUCCCAAGGAUGGCUACUAGUCAACUUAGCCAACCAGUUAGAGGUUUUUUUGUGCAAAUAUACUUAACAGUACUUGAAAAGACUUUGAAGCCUUUUCAGGGGCAGCUUUUCAACUUUUUCUGAUGUUGUUUAGAAUUCCACCUUUCCUUGGAUUCAUACACAGACAAGCAAGCGAGCCCUUGGGUCCCUGGGGGGAAGUCACAGACAAACAUUAUGACAGGGACUUGAAUUCUUGUGGAGGGGAAUAGGGGUAUCCCAGUCCACAGAUUAAACAUGUGUACGCUAGAGCCUGUGAGGAAGGCACAAGGCCACUCGCACAAAGCACCAACAUUUCCCCCUAUCACGCAACUGUAACCUAGGCUGCAAAUCCUCAGUAUACUUACUUGGGUGUAAGCCCACUGAAAUAAUGGUGUUUCUUUCCAAGUAAAUGUUAUUAGGAUCAAGCUGCAAGAUGAAUCAUAAGCUAACUACAAUUUUUUUUUUAAUCUUGUUAGCAUAAUUUUACUACCGAAGUUGAAUCAUUAUAGUAGCUAACUUACCUGACAUGUAUUUUGCUAAAUAUGCAUGUUCUUCUAUUUUUAAUUUUAAUCCUUCCAAUUACCCCCACACCAAUCUAUUUUGUAAGUCCAUUUUUAUUGUUUAAAAGAAAUCUAACACACACCUGUUUAGAGAUCUUUCAGUCUUUAAUUGCUAUUUACUGCUCAUUGCAUAAAGUCAGAUAGCGUCACUCAUUUUCUAGGUUUUUUUUUUAAGAUUAGAAUUUUUUUCUGACUCCGUUUUGAAAGACCAACCCCCGCUUCCCGCGUACACUUUAUCUGUCUAUAAUAUUACCCUCGCAGACGGGAUGUACACUUUUUCUGACUUAUAACCAUUGCUCUUGUAUUUUGGUAGAUGCUUUGUUGAUAGUAACUAAAUGCCUAGUAAGAUUUUAAAAGUAAAAACUUCAAUCUCAGUUGUUACUUUAAGCCAAUCUUUCCCCUCACACACCCUCUUUGAAUAACCUUGGAAGUUGCAUUUUUACCAUAUAUAUCUCCCCAUGACCACCUUUUAAAAUGUUUAGCCUGAGAUUUUAGCUUUAAAGGGAAAAAAAGCAUACAAACCAAUUUUUGAUGAACAGAGUAAAUCUGAUUUUUUCUUUUCUUGUUAGUGAUCCCCUGUCAAUUGCAAGUUCAUGCUUUAUUUAUGUGGGAUAAAUUCAUUAUUCCCUUUUUUUAAAAAAUGGAUUUUCUUUUUAUGCUAUAUUAACACCUGUUCUUAGUGGAUGGAUAAAUGUUAUCUUUACUACCCCAACCUUGAUAAACAAAUCCCCAUCUCCCCAAUCCUUGCACCCCACACCAAGCUCCAUAGGUUGUUGGGUUUUUUAAUCAGUGUAAGUUUGGACAGGUUGCUCUAAAUCAGGGGAAACUCGCAGUAGGUUUGCAAUCAGAAAGCUUGGGUGUCUUUUGGGAAUGUUUUUGCUGGUGGAAUCCUGGCGCGUUGUUCAUCUGUUGAUGAUGGAGAGAGACUUACAGUGCUUAAUAAAUUCUAUUCUUUUAGUAAAAAAUAAAUAAAUGGUGUGUUUGUA